GAGCGAAUGGAUUAAGAGCUUGCUCUUAUGAAGUUACGGCGGACGGGUGAGUAACACGUGGGUAACCUGCCCAUAAGACUGGGAUAACUCCGGGAAACCGGGGCUAAUACCGGAUAACAUUUUGAACCGCAGGGUUCGAAAUUGAAAGGCGGCUUCGGCUGUCACUUAUGGAUGGACCCGCGUCGCAUUAACUAGUUGGUGAGGUAACGGCUCACCAAGGCAACGAUGCGUAACCGACCUGAAGGGUGAUCGGCCACACUGGGACUGAAACACGGCCCAACUCCUACGGGAGGCAGCAGUAGGGAAUCUUCCGCAAUGGACGAAAGUCUGACGGAGCAACGCCACGUGAGUGAUGAAGGCUUUCGGGUCGUAAAACUCUGUUGUUAGGGAAGAACAAGUGCUAGUUGAAUAAGCUGGCACCUUGACGGUACCUAACCAGAAAGCCACGGCUAACUACGUGCCAGCAGCCGCGGUAAUACGUAGGUGGCAAGCGUUAUCCGGAAUUAUUGGGCGUAAAGCGCGCGCAGGUGGUUUCUUAAGUCUGAUGUGAAAGCCCACGGCUCAACCGUGGAGGGUCAUUGGAAACUGGGAGACUUGAGUGCAGAAGAGGAAAGUGGAAUUCCAUGUGUAGCGGUGAAAUGCGUAGAGAUAUGGAGGAACACCAGUGGCGAAAGCGACUUUCUGGUCUGUAACUGACACUGAGGCGCGAAAGCGUGGGGAGCAAACAGGAUUAGAUACCCUGGUAGUCCACGCCGUAAACGAUGAGUGCUAAGUGUUAGAGGGUUUCCGCCCUUUAGUGCUGAAGUUAACGCAUUAGCACUCCGCCUGGGGAGUACGGCCGCAAGGCUGAAACUCAAGAAUUGACGGGGGCCCG
rnacentral:rRNA from 1 species